rnacentral:rRNA from 1 species
UACGUAGGGGGCAAGCGUUGUCCGGAAUCAUUGGGCGUAAAGAGCGCGUAGGCGGCUCGUUAAGUGUGAAGUGAAAUCUCUAGGGCUCAACCCAGAAACUGCUUUACAUACUGGCGAGCUGGAGUGAUGAAGAGGUUUGUGGAAUUCCUGGUGUAGCGGUGAAAUGCGUUGAUAUCAGGAGGAACACCCAUGGCGAAGGCAGCAAACUGGUCAUCAACUGACGCUGAGGCGCGAAAGCGUGGGUAGCAAACAGG